rnacentral:rRNA from 1 species
CCUACGGGAGGCAGCAGUGGGGAAUAUUGCGCAAUGGGCGAAAGCCUGACGCAGCCACGCCGCGUGAGUGAUGAAGGCCUUCGGGUUGUAAAGCUCUGUCGGGAGGGAAGAAGGGGAAACCCUGACGGUACCUCGCAAGAAAGCACCGGCUAACUCUGUGCCAGCAGCCGCGGUAAUACAGAGGGUGCAAGCGUUGCUCGGAUUUACUGGGCGUAAAGCGUACGCAGACGGUUUGGUAGGUCGGGCGUGAAAGCCCUGGGCUCAACCCAGGAAAUGCGCUCGAAACCGCCUCACUCGAGUAUAGGAGAGGAAAGCGGAAUUCCCGGUGUAGAGGUGAAAUUCGUAGAUAUCGGGAGGAACACCAGCGGCGAAGGCGGCUUUCUGGCCUAUUACUGACGUUCAGGUACGAAAGCGUGGGUAGCAAACAGGAUUAGAUACCCUGGUAGUCCACGCUGUAAACGAUGAGUGCUGGAUGUCGGGUAGUUCUACCCUCCGUACGUACGAGCUACGACGUACGACNCUCCGCCGUCGGGAGGUACGGCCGCGAGUAGAACGUACGAAGAAGUAGACGGCGUGUAGACGUUGCGACGACGACGACGAGGGAGGAGG